UACGGGGGGGGCAAGCGUUGUUCGGAAUUACUGGGCGUAAAGGGGACGUAGGCGGCCAACUAAGUCCGACGUGAAAUCCCAAGGCUUAACCUUGGAACUGCGUCGGAUACUGGAUGGCUUGAAUUCGGGAGAGGGAUGCAGAAUUCCAGGUGUAGCGGUGAAAUGCGUAGAUAUCUGGAGGAAUACCGGUGGCGAAGGCGGCAUCCUGGACCGACAUUGACGCUGAAAGACGAAAGCUAGGGGAGCAAACGGG
rnacentral:rRNA from 1 species